AACCAACAGGGAUUGCCCCAGUAACGGCGAGUGAAGCGGCAACAGCUCAAAUUUGAAAUCUGGCCCUAGGCCCGAGUUGUAAUUUGCAGAGGAUGUUUCUGGCGACGCGCCUUCCGAGUUCCCUGGAACGGGACGCCAUAGAGGGUGAGAGCCCCGUACGGUUGGAUGCCUAGCCUCUGUGAAACUCCUUCGACGAGUCGAGUAGUUUGGGAAUGCUGCUCUAAAUGGGAGGUAUACGUCUUCUAAAGCUAAAUAUAGGCCAGAGACCGAUAGCGCACAAGUAGAGUGAUCGAAAGAUGAAAAGCACUUUGAAAAGAGGGUUAAAUAGUACGUGAAAUUGUUGAAAGGGAAGCACUUAUGACCAGACUUGGGCAGGUUGAUCAUCCGUCGUUCUCGGCGGUGCACUCUGCCUGCCCAGGCCAGCAUCAGUUCGCUUCGGGGGAUAAAGGUUUCGGGAAUGUAGCUCCUUCGGGAGUGUUAUAGCCCGUUGCGUAAUACCCUGGGGUGGACUGAGGUUCGCGCAUCUGCAAGGAUGCUGGCGUAAUGGUCAUCAGUGACCCGUCUUGAAACACGGACCAAGGAGUCGUCUUCGUAUGCGAGUGUUCGGGUGUCAAACCCCUACGCGUAAUGAAAGUGAACGUAGGUGAGAGCUUCGGCGCAUCACCGACCGAUCCUGAUGUUCUCGGAUGGAUUUGAGUAAGAGCAUACGGGGCCGGACCCGAAAGAAGGUGAACUAUGCCUGUAUAGGGUGAAGCCAGAGGAAACUCUGGUGGAGGCUCGCAGCGGUUCUGACGUGCAAAUCGAUCGUCAAAUAUGGGCAUGGGGGCGAAAGACUAAUCGAACCUUCUAGUAGCUGGUUUCCGCCGAAGUUUCCCUCAGGAUAGCAGUGUUGAGCUCAGUUUUAUGAGGUAAAGCGAAUGAUUAGGGACUCGGGGGCGCUAUAUUGCCUUCAUCCAUUCUCAAACUUUAAAUAUGUAAGAAGCCCUUGUUGCUUAAUUGAACGUGGGCAUUCGAAUGUAUCAACACUAGUGGGCCAUUUUUGGUAAGCAGAACUGGCGAUGCGGGAUGAACCGAACGCGAGGUUAAGGUGCCAGAGUAGACGCUCAUCAGACACCACAAAAGGUGUUAGUACAUCUUGACAGCAGGACGGUGGCCAUGGAAGUCGGAAUCCGCUAAGGACUGUGUAACAACUCACCUGCCGAAUGUACUAGCCCUGAAAAUGGAUGGCGCUCAAGCGUCUCACCCAUACCUCGCCCUCAGGGUAGAAACGAUGCCCUGAGGAGUAGGCGGACGUGGAG
rnacentral:rRNA from 1 species